UACGGGGGGAGCAAGCGUUGUUCGGAUUUACUGGGCGUAAAGGGCGCGUAGGCGGCCAGCACAAGUCAGUUGUGAAAUCUCCGAGCUUAACUCGGAAAGGUCAACUGAUACUGUGCGGCUAGAGUGCGGAAGGGGCAACUGGAAUUCUUGGUGUAGCGGUGAAAUGCGUAGAGAUCGGAAAGAACACCAACGGCGAAAGCACUCUGCUGGGCCGACACUGACACUGAGAGACGAAAGCUAGGGGAGCGAAUGGG
rnacentral:rRNA from 1 species